rnacentral:lncRNA from 1 species
CUUAGGAGACCUGGACAAGCCAUCUUCAGCCUUUUAACUUCAACCACAGGAAAUCAGUGCACCGGCUGUAUGUUUAGAAGCAACCUCCACACUCUCUUGGUGCAGAGGUACCAAAAAGUGUGACUCAGCCUCUCUCCUAGGAGACAUAAAGAGCUGGUUCCAGUGACUCCACCACGUUGCAAAAGCGGUUUGCAGGAUUUAUGGUUGCUGCUUCAGUCCUUGAUGCUGCAGAACUGCAUCUUUUCACAGGUAAAAGCAUGUGGUGGCUCCAGAAUACAUCCACUAAGAGAAGGGAGUUUACAAUGAAAGGACUCCACUCAAGACCCAAUCCCAACUACGACCUCAAGCCUCCCGGGGCUGGAACAUGCAGAAGCUCUAUCACAGCUGCUGACGAAUCUGCCAGGAAUGUAAGGACAACUUUCUCAUAGACUUAUUCAGUGCAAACUGAGGCCACGUCAACUGUAAUUUACAGGAACUUUUUCAAUGACUCAUAUUUAAAUUUACUCUAUUUUUAUUAUUAUGGCCUGCACUUCCUAUUUUUGACAGAGACCUUUAAAUCACAGGGAUUUUCAAGGGAUUUUUAUGGUUCUUUCACUGAUGGGAUUACAUCUUCUGUAUAGGAAUGGUUUUUCAGAAGAUGUCAGUGCAUGGAAGUAGCUUGACUGUCAGAAUGACCGACAGGCACACAAAAGGAGUUCAACAACUGGCUUGCACAAGGUCCUGGCCCGUUGAAGCUACUGCUAGAAAAAGAAAAGGCAGAGACAGACUAUGAGAUACACUUUCUUAUCAGCCAAAGGAAUGAAGAGCACAGUGCUCUUCCUUCUCAGCCUAUUUCUCUGAAUAAUUCUUGCCCUUUUCAGAACAGUACAUUACAUGCAAUAAUUGUGCAGCAUGCUUGUAUGAGGUGGGGGCGUAGAAACAGGUUUGGUGUGCAAUUCAGGUUGGAAAUGUGCCUCAGUGAAUUAGUGUCAUUUACCUCAGCUCCCGGUGUAAUUGCUCUUGUUGCUAGCCAGUCAUACUCAGAAGAUUGAAAUAAAUUUCGAUUCAGCAUUCAGUUACGGGGCUUAAUUGCUUUACAAAAUAUUAUGCAUUGUUACAAAUACACCAGAAUAGUGGAGUUACCCUCACAUGCUUGCAUAUCAAAAAGAAGAUUGCAUUCCAAAAGAAGCAAUCCCCUUAACUGCAAAUAAGAGGCUUUAAAAGAUCUUUGGCUUGAAUGAAAAAAAUGCCUUCUUCUUGGAGCCUAGCCCACAUCCCUGUGUAUAAAGUCCACUAGGACUUUGUGAGAACAUCAAACAACAAAACCAUGUUCUUUGUCCAAUGUGGAGUUCUGCUCUAGAUGCAGAGUUAGAGUGCUACUCGUGCCUUGCCAAAAAAGCAAAUGCGUACCAGAAGCAAAACCAGAAGUUCUAUUGAAAAUACCAUUUGUUUGCAGAGAAAGAUAUGAACCAACAUUUUUUGUUCCCCCCACCCACCAAUAAAUAAAUAAAUAAAUAAAUCUGUCCAAUGUUUGGGUUUUGUGAGAAACACUCCGUAGCCAAUAACUUAGGCUCAGGCGAGGAUCUCAGUGAAGUAGUAAUUUAUUCGCGAUUGCAAUGGCGGGCGCCCCACAAGCAGGAGAGAGCGCAUCUACUAGUUCCAAAACACAGUUUAUAUACCUUUUGAUGGCAGGACCCUCCCCUGUUUCCCCACUGAGUGGGUAAUCCAGGUUCACAAUCUAUCUGAUGCUUCACAAACAAUGCAUGGCCUUCAGUUGCCGGCCUGUUAAAUUUCAAAUUUCUUUUGACAUUUUUACUGUUUGAAGUGGUAAUGUUUCUUCACUUAUCUGACUUGACUUGACACCGUGAUUUUCACCUAAUUGUCCUAAGGAGACUGGUUGUCUGCAUUUUACUAGGUCGCCUGCUAAACUUUCUUAUCACUGUAAGCAUAUCUCAGUACCACAUUCCCUCCUUCUAAACAAUGUAACUCUGCAAAAACAACAUUUCUAUUCCCACAAUUCCCCCCUUUUCUUUUUUUUUAUAAACUGUUGAUUUUUGCAAAACCUUUCUCUAAGGUGCAAUUUGAUAGACUUCUUCUUCUUUGCUUUCCAUCUCCUCAUUAUCUCCUUAU